CAAAUCCAAGGCACACAGCUCUUUGUCAAAGAUGGAGGAAACCAUGGAGCAGCAACAAGAGCAGAGAGGAUUGCGUCAUUUUUAAUUCUGCUCCAUACUCUUCAAUAUAUUUGACCUAGAAUGAGGGUUUGCAUUCUGGGAUAGACGCCUGUCUCAAGUUCACACAAGUCACUUCCUUCCAGCUAUAGUUCGCUGCAGGUUGGAGUAAUGGGCAUCUCAAGAGGUAAGGAGGCAUUGGUGAAAGGUGCCUCUUGCUGGCAAAUGUGUUGGCCAAUUGCAUUUGUGCACUGAGAAACUACAUU